rnacentral:pre_miRNA from 1 species
AAACCAUCCAUAAGUUUUGCAACUGUAACAGUUUUGGCCCCCAAGGCCAAAAAAAAAAAAAAAAAAAACACGUGGACCUCACUUAGGGUGCCACGUCAGCGUAGACCGAGUCAAAAUUGGCCUUGGGGGCCAAAACUGCCACAUGUGCAAAACUUAGGGGGCAGUUU